rnacentral:rRNA from 1 species
UACGUAGGGGGCAAGCGUUGUCCGGAUUUAUUGGGCGUAAAGAGCGUGUAGGCGGCCAGGCAGGUCCGUUGUGAAAACUCGAGGCUCAACCUCGAGACGUCGAUGGAAACCGUCUGGCUAGAGUCCGGAAGAGGAGAGUGGAAUUCCUGGUGUAGCGGUGAAAUGCGCAGAUAUCAGGAAGAACACCUAUGGCGAAGGCAGCUCUCUGGGACGGUACUGACGCUGAGACGCGAAAAGCGUGGGGAGCAAACAGG